rnacentral:sRNA from 1 species
GCUGAGUAUGGUGGCGCACACCUGUAAUCCCUGUGGCCUGGGAGGCCGAGGCAGGAGGAUCACAAGUUCAAAGCCAGCCUCAGCAAAAGUGAGGUGCUAAGCAACUCAACUCAGUGAGACCUUGUCUCUA